rnacentral:lncRNA from 1 species
AGCACACAGCUCUGACCACAAAGCUAGUAACGCAAGCAGUCGCCCGACACCAAUCCUGUCGAGGCACAUCGCGCAUAUACAGGGGGCCUUAACCAAUAGUAGCAUUGUUACUAACGCAAGCUUCUGCUCAUUGUCUAUAUAUACUCUGUAAAAGCUUGAAUAAAGGGAGAACGACCAUACUCAUAUUGAGACUCAUUGUUACUCCGGGCCCGUCCCCCACUCUGACAUCUGGUAGCAGAGGAUGGUUCAUCUCCGAGACUACCAAUAAGAGGAGGAUUGAAUUCCGAUAAGAGCUCAGAGACUGCGGUAAGCAGCGAGAGGACGGGAGUGGGGAUCAMACGGCUGGGAGAAGUGCUGGUCGAGAGCUGCCGCCAGACACGGYGUCGGGGUCGCGCCCCGUCUCCCAGGGAGCAGCAUGGAAACAGACGCUGCAGCCACUCUGCUAGCUGGGAUCCUCUCUAAGAGAGGGGUGGAUGCCCCAGUGAAGCAGUUACACAGAUUGAUUAAGUUAGGGCAGCAAUGGGGGCAUUUUUCAGACACACACUUGCUAUUCUCUGUAUCGGAGUGGAGAGACUUUGGBGAAACGAUGUGGUCUAAGACCAUUGAGGGUGGAGCGAAGGAUGGGAAGGAGAUCAAGGCGGUACGAWCCCUCUGGAGUACGGUCCUGGAGACUCUGGUGGCGAUGAAGGCGGAGAGGGAGGUGGCUGCAGCGGCUACAAAAAUGUUGAGCCCUGCGCCAAGUAGCACCCCUCAGGGACCCGGCGGCGGGUCUCAGCUCGCUAUCAGGGGGACUGGCUCCGUGGGUAAGCUGUACCGCACAGUGGCGGAGAUGCUGCAGAAGCUGCGGGGGGGUUCAGCUGCCCCACAAGAAAAAGGGGAAGUUGCCGCCGAGCCGGCCGGCUCAAGCACUGCCGAAAAUGCGGAAGUACAGCCGACUGCCUCCCAGGACCCGGAGGAGGGUGGGACAAUCCCUAGUGCCUCGCCUCUGCCACCCACUCAAGGGCCGCCUCGACCUACGGCUCCUCCUCCCCCUCCACCGCCGCCCGCGCAGCCCUUAACACCGUCCGCGCAAGAGGGAGCCGGCAAUGCGCCGCAAGGGCCGUGGCGAGAGCCUCCGGCCCUGUCCUCUCCUGAGUCGUCAGGCACAGCCUCGCCUACCACCCCCAUGGGGACAAAGCCGUCCACGGCUCAACUAUUAAAAAUGUUUGAGCAGCUGUCAGAAAAACUGGAAAAGCUGGAACUGAGGGACGGGAAAGUUGUUCGCGCACUUUGGAACACCGUACUAG